UAUCAAUAAGCGGAGGAAA
rnacentral:snRNA from 1 species